AACGAACGCUGGCGGCAUGCCUAACACAUGCAAGUCGAACGAAACCUUCGGGACUUGUCGCGCACGGGUGCGUAACGCGAGGGAACCUGCACUUAGGUUUGACAUAACUCUACGACAGGGGUGCCAAUACCGGAUCAUGUCUUCGGACGAAUGAUUUUUUGACUUAGGUUGGUCACGCGUUGGAUUAGAUGGUUGGUAGGGUAAAAGACUACUAAGGCGACAAUCCACAAAUUGUCUGAGAGGAAGGUCAGCCACACUGGGAGUGAGAAGCGGCCCAGACUCCUACGGAAGGCAGGAGUGGGGAAUGUUGGACCGUGGGCGAAGUCCUGAUCCUGCAAUGACGCGUGAGUGAUGAUGGCCUUAGAGUUGUAAAGCGCAUGUACCCGUGAUGAUAAUGACAGUACCGGGAGAAUAAGCUCCGGCUAACUACGUG
rnacentral:rRNA from 1 species